GAACCACACGGAAGGAUAUUAUAUAGCGUUUCAUUAAUCCAUCUAUAGCGUUCUGCCCAAAUAUAAGAGGCGCAAAAAUUGCUUCGUGCCCCAUAUCGCACACUGCUUCAAAUUUUCACUCGAUUUCGUAGUGGCACCCAAAUCCAGAUCUCCCAAUCGUAGAAAUCAAGUGGUGCCCAAAUCCAGAUCUCCCAAUCGUACUCCACGAACUCAUGCAAGAUUUCUCGAGCUGUGUGAACUGCAAACUGGCGUUGGUUGCUAUUCUAGGGUUUUAAUCUUGAGUUACAGUUGGAGAAGAAUCAAAGAUUUUUUUUUUGAUCGGCGAGAAUCGAAGACAUAUUCAAACCUUUUGCACCAGUUGAAUCAAAGAAGUAUUUGUUAGGAGAGUCCUCACAAGUUUGAUUUGAUUUUUUUCUUAAUUUUUGCUCAAAUACAAAGGUAGGGCUUUAAUCGAUUAUUAGCUUGUGAUAAUCAAUUUGGAAUUUACAUGGAUUAUGCACCUAGAGGGUUUGGAUUUACUUUCAGUGAGGCAUCAGUUUUCAUUCUGAUAACAUAUUGGGGCUUUUGGGGUUAUUCAUUCCUAUAACAAGCUCAAGAUAUACCAGAUGACAAAUAAUGUUUCUGUAUGUCGUGGGGGCACUCCCCCUGCCUCCGGAGCUGUCUCCAUUCCAACAUCUUCAUCUCCAUAAGUCCUAUGUGAUUUGUUCUAGUGUGCUUCUGAUAAUGGAUUUUUUUAUUUGUAUAAUUUUUUUGUCUGCGCAUACAAUCUUUACUUGUUGUGAACAUAAUUUUGCAAUGCACAUCUCCCUACUUUAUAUAGCUAAUUCAAUCUUUACGCUGUUAUAUUCUUCCAGUGUUUAUGGUUUGUGAGAUUAUUUGUGUUUGCUUGUUUUUUGGGGAAGUGCAAGAACAUCCUUUCUGAUUAUUGGUCACAUACUCACAUAGAUUUCUCUCUAGAGAUUACAAUUCUUUCAUCCUACCACUUGUUUGAUUUUGUUCCUGAGAGGAAAGAAAUAUCAUGACAUGCCAAUGCCGACUUUGGUUCAGCCAAUAGUGCACAGUUUAGCCAUGGCCGUGAUUUCCACAUAGCAAAACACAUUGUUAGGAUCUUAGGUUGGUUUCAGGAAUUUUACAAGUGAUUCAACUAGGAAUGAUAUUUUACGAGUGAUUCAACUAUGAAGGAGAUAAUCGCAGUACCUAAACUUAUCAUAUUUUUUGAAGUGUUGCGAUGCGGUACUAGUUCAUACUUUGUACAGAAGGGAAUGUGUUUCUAUGGCACCUAUGUUUUAGGAAUUUUUUAAAUUCCUUGAGAUGACAUCAUGAAUUUUUUCCAGGUUCAUUAAUACCAAAGGAGAAAUUGGAAGCAAAUAGUAUGCAUAUGGGUGCCAGGCGCCAAUGGGAGUUCUAAGUAAAUUCGCUUCAAUAAGUGUCCUUGUACUGAUUAGGGAAGAUGUUACUUGACAUUGAAAUCAUAGUAUUGCUUGAUGUUAAGAAGUACAACUAAACAUUGAAGGACGAAAGCUAUAACAUGACACAAGCUUAUUUAAGAGAUUAACAUGUGUUUAAUGAAGUUCAAGUGAGACUAGCUAGACUUAAACAAUGAGAUCAGUGCAUGUUAGCUUGGUUAGAUUUGGAUAUGUGGAGGAUUUAAAUUUUGCAUCAGAAUUGAAGAAUUUUUAAAUGGUCAUCAGAGCAUAGUUUUAUGAUAACCUUAAAUUGUGGAUUCUGACUUGUAACUUAGAUUGACUUGGUAGUUUCCGAAAUAAAUAGGAUGAUUAUCAUAGUAUUGCCUGAAAAGUUAGCUCUUUGUUCAUAUUUACUGUCGAGUUCAUUUAAGUGAUGGUUGUCUGGCUUGAUCAUUGUCAGAUAUUCAAUUCCAAGCUUGUCUUGGCAUCUCCAGAAACUGCUACAGAUGCAGAUUAUGCUGCGAUUUUAGGAGUUAUUGGCCAUGAGUACUUUCACAACUGGACUGGCAACAAAGUGACAUGUCGAGACUGGUUCCAGCUUAGUCUGAAGGAAGGUCUGACUGUUUUCCGUGAUUAGGAAUUUUCAUCCGUCAUGGGGAGCCGUACGGUUAAGCGGAUUGCUGAUGUUUCGAGGCUUCGAAAUUAUCAGUUUCCCCAGGUAUUUCCCCUCGCCCAUAACUUCGAAUUAUGCAUUUUGUCAUUUUUUAGCAUUAGUAGCUCGCAGCUGCUUAUAAUGUACUUGGGAGAUUUAAGCGUCAAGGAUCGUACUCAAUUCAUCUUAUCAAAGUUACCAUUUCCUGUCAUUGACUCUGAGAACUUUUAGUCUUUGUUUGGUGAAGUUAUAUGUUGUUUUUCCUCCCUUUGGUAAGUGUGUAAGGCUACCGUCUAGUUUGGAGUAGUUUUAGUUUCAAUCAGCAGGGAGUGCCUCAUUUUGGUAGUUAUGGGUUCAACAGUCCAACUGUCAUAGCUGGAUAAUGGUAUGUGAAGAUUAUGACUACAAUUGGCAUUCUUGGUGGGUACACAUUUUACCGAACGGAAAUCAUGGAUACCAAUCCUAAUGUUCACUGUUUAGAAAGUGUGUCGAAAGUGUGUCAUGAGUUUGCUGUCACUUGUCAAAGAAUGCUAAUGGUUGGCUCUGAUUUUUUGCAUGUGGAACUGAACAAUGGAUGCAGCUAUCAAUUCUAUUUUUUGCUGAACAAUGAUUUUUUGCUGUCAAACACAAUUAAGCUACUAAUUUGGCAAACAGAACCAUGUUCAAAGAAUACUUCACAUACAUCAUCUGAUACAGUAGGGAGAAUCUGGUCUUCUCGAUUAGGGUGCUUCUAUUGGUUGCAAGUUUUGAUUCCCAAUCACCUUUCUUUCACUUGUUCUUUCAGUGUCUUUCUCUACCAUAUAUUUUGCUAGUUCUUGCUAGUUCAUUAAACACUACAACAAAUUAUACUUUUGAUAGUUUUGAGUUAAGAGUGGUUUAGAGCAUGUACAUAAGAAUAGCAAAAACCACCCUUUUAGCUAUUUUACCUAAUUAAAGGUCCCAAAACAGCUUACAGCAGCCUAGGUAAACAAAAAGCAAUUUUACCUCAACCCAAAAACCUCUCCAGAUAUACCGAUCUACUGUUCAUAAGGUAUCCAAUAAAAUAUUAUUUUUUCUCUCUCCUUCCUCAUCUUGUCUUCAUGGUCCAGACUCCAGACCACAUCUGACCCUCUCCGAUCCUCAUCGGCUCGAUUCCAAGUAUGCCGUGGCCGUGCUCCAGUAGUAGACAAGCGGCGGAGUAAGAAUUGGGUAGCGGCAGAGAGGGUUUGAUUGGGGAAAGAGAAACGGGAGAGCAGCAACGGGGAGAAGGAUCGACUUCAACGGGGAGAGCAACAACGGACAGAUCUGCAAAACGAUCGACGUCCAUCUUCGUCCAUUGAUCUUGUUGGAGUAUUUCUCUGGUUCUUCAUCUCUGCAACGAACUAUUCCUUGGGCUAGCUCCGAUGAUCGACGACGAAGGAAGUCUGGGAUGUGGGUUGAUCUCCGGCUCUCCACUUUUCGUCCGUUCAUCUGUUGGAGCUUCUGGGAGCACUAUGCUCAUUGUCUGCCACGAUCAAUAAUGUAUGUGUUUGAAUAGCUAAGUGGCUCGGCUGGUAGUUAAAUGCGUGUGGUUGAAGUUCCAGCUUUUUACAUAGUUUUCUAACAUGAAUAGUUAUGUUCCACAAUCACGCAUGGAUUGAUAUAUGUCGUUCGCCAAUUGGUCAUGGUAUGGCUGCUUUUGAGAUUGUUCUUGGUUCUUGCUAACAAUUAUCCAUCAUAUUCUUCUUUUUCUAACUGCAAACAUUAUUUUGCUUUAAAGUUGUUUUUGUUAAUAAUUUUCACUAUAUCUAUUGGGUUACUUUGAAUAGUUCUAUAUUUACAGGUAUGUGUUCGCCGUUGGGAGCAAAAGGAUAUAAACCCGGCAAAAACGUAAGCUUCAAAUAAAGAACAUCUCCGUGGGCGAAGAAUUGGGGUACUUGAAUGAGAUGGCUGCCUAGUUUAGGAUUACAUUUUUUGGAAAGAGAGAUUACAUUAGUGUUUUUUUUAUGAGUGUAAAAAUGUAGUUUGUGCUGGAAAAUUAUUCUUCAAGCUAUUGUAAUGGAUCUUCGGUUGAAUUAUUUAUCUUACAUUGAAAUUGUAUCGCGUUUGGAUGCA